CCUACGGGAGGCUGCAGUGGGGAAUAUUGGGCAAUGGGCGAAAGCCUGACCCAGCGACGCCGCGUGGGUGAUGAAGGCCUUCGGGUUGUAAAGCCCUGUCAUGCGGAAAGAACAGUCUUACGGUUAAUACCCGUGAGAUUUGACGGUACCGCAGGAGGAAGCACCGGCUAACUCCGUGCCAGCAGCCGCGGUAAUACGGAGGGAGCAAGCGUGCUUCGAGAUCGCGUGGCGUAAAGUGAAAGUCAGAUGUGAAAUACUUCGGCUCAACUGAAGAACUGCAUCUGAAACUUCAUAACUAGAGUACAGAAGAGGGAAAUGGAAUUCCCGGUGUAGAGGUGAAAUUCGUAGAUAUCGGGAGGAACACCAGUGGCGAAGGCGAUUUCCUGGUCUGAUACUGACGCUGAGGCGUGAAAGUGUGGGGAGCAAACAGGAUUAGAUACCCGUGUAGUC
rnacentral:rRNA from 1 species